AUUGAACGCUGGCGGCAGGCCUAACACAUGCAAGUCGAGCGGAUGAAGGGAGCUUGCUCCUGGAUUCAGCGGCGGACGGGUGAGUAAUGCCUAGGAAUCUGCCUGGUAGUGGUGGAUAACGUCCUGAAACGGGCGCUAAUACCGCAUACGUCCUGCGGGAGAAAGUGGGGGAUCUUCGGACCUCACGCUAUCAGAUGAGCCUAGGUCGGAUUAGCUAGUUGGUGGGGUAAAGGCCUACCAAGGCGACCAUCCGUAACUGGUCUGAGAGGAUGAUCAGUCACCCUGGAACUGAGACACGGUCCUGACUCCUGAGGGAGGCAGCAGUGGGGAAUAUUGGACAAUGGGCGAAAGCCUGAUCCAGCCAUGCCGCGUGUGUGAAGAAGGUCUUCGGAUUGUAAAGCACUUUAAGUUGGGAGGAAGGGCAGUAAGUUAAUACCUUGCUGUUUUGACGUUACCAACAGAAUAAGCACCGGCUAACUUCGUG
rnacentral:rRNA from 1 species